rnacentral:lncRNA from 1 species
AUCAUCAUAACAAUAACAACAAUCAAGGGUGGUCCGGGGCGCAUCCGAUCCCACGAUCGUCGUCGCCCCUAAAUCAACACAACAACAACAACAACAAUCAAGGGUGCAUCCGAUCCCACGAUCGUCGUCGCCCCUAAAUCAACACAACAUAACAACAAUCAACGUAACGCUUGAGUCCAAUCCUCUCCCACAAAACGUUCAACUGAAUCCCUAUCUUGUUGAAACAUUUGUCACUGGCAUUAAAAAUACACUAAAAAAGACGCUGGAUAGACUCCUAACAAAAUUCUUUACACAAGUAAACCAACCACCCUUAGGCUGACCUAACACACCUCAUCCACAUCUAUAGAGAAUGACAUCCAACCUAACCCAGCUACCAUUGCUGUAUACAAAUCGUUUGAACUGAUGCUGGACAAACUCCUAAAUAACUACUUAGCAUGCCUUACCCAAGUCACUCCCCAGGAUGACUUGCCACAAACCCCAACUACAGUCACUAAGAGUAAGAAAUCUCCAGCUAUACAAACCUCCCAGCAACCUGACACUUUGACUGAAAAACUACAUAUACCACUCUCCCAUGACACAUCCUCCAACAACUUGCAGAUAUUCAACAUGCUGCACUACUGGCACGUCAAAGAUCAAUGCAAUCACAUCCUAGACAUAAAGAUCCGAAAUAUGACAACAUAACCCAUCUUCAACUAACCUACCCUAACUUAACCUAACCUUAUAUACAUUAACCCUAUGUUACUUAAUGUACUCUAACUUACCUUAAUCUACCCCAAACCUAUCUGAAUUGUGACUAACUCCCAAACAUACGGCAACCCUCAAACUCAGUCUCCUGACUAAACCACAUACUUUUCAUAGAACAGCAACACUUUGCUAUUGCCAUCAACACAACUCCUCAUCUUUGCCAUCCUGAGUCCAUUUCUGUUCAUAUGUUUAUUUUUGUCUUUAUCCUCACACAAAUAGAAGACUAAUCUCUGAUCUCUGCCAAAUCAUGAACAUUGAUGCACCACUGUGAGUGCCACUUCUCUCAAUAUUACCACUUGUGCAGUCAUCGAGAGGAAAAAAAUUCAUGCAAACUGCAUGUAUCGCGAAGAAGAAGAAGAAGAAAAAGAAGAAGGAGAAGAAGUGCGUCUUGGCGCAGGCUGACAUUUUUAGUGACAUUACCUUGUUGUGAAGAUAUUUUAACAGUUUGAUGGAGACAGAUUGAUUUAUGUGCUCAUCCUUUCACCAGAAGAAAUAUGCAUAAGAGUACCAAAAUCCAGCACCAUAAAACUCAACGUCAUGAAGAAUCACUUCUACCAUGCUCCAGCAAAUCACCCACAGCAGUAUCUUGAUCUGGAGUGAGAUGUUCCUCAUAAGUUUCUAAAGAUAAAAUGUUAUUUAAGCUCUUCAUAGCAAACUACUCCAUUUAGCUUUUACUUUUACGCAUGCACUUUAACAACAAAACUUACAAGUUCAUAUGAAAGUGGAGCUUCUUCAGUCUUAUGCAUGUUGUAAGACACCAAAUAUCAACAGGAAAUAAGCUAUUCACAUUGGAAUUAACAUGAUUUGAAAGACUUUUGAAGGAAAUGAACAUAAACUCGUAUAGGGGAGAAAAUGUGUUAGUAUUCAGUUAUCUAGAAGAUUUCUAAAAUAUAUUUGUAUAAAAUAUUUGGGUUUAAAAUAAAAAUAGAUUAUGUAAAACAUGAGUCAUAAUACAAAAGAGAAGUCAUUUCAGUGCUCAUUGUGUCCCAAAAACUUUGCUCGAAACACACAUUUAGUGCAACACACAAGAGUUCAUACAGGAGAGAAACCAUUUAAGUGUUCAGUGUGUCAGAAAUGCUUGUCAGCAAAAUCAGCUCUAGUUCAACACAUGAGAGUUCAUACUGGAGAGAAACCCUACAAAUGCACUGUGUGUCUGAGAGAUUUUACAAAUAGAUCAGAUCUAGUACGACAUACGCUUGUUCAUACAGUAGAAAAAGCACAUCAGUGCUCAGUGUGCUUAAAAGACUUCAAGCAAAAAUCGGCUUUAGUGCAACAUAUGAGAAUUCAUACUGGAGAAAAACCAUAUCAGUGCAAAGUAUGUUUAAAAGAUUUUGCAAAUCAGUCAAAUCUUGUGCGACACAUCAAACUUCAUGCAGGAAUAAAACCUUAUAAGUGUUCAAAGUGUUUAAAAGACUUUUCACAUAAAUCUGAUUUAGUAAAUCAUAUUAGAGUUCAUGCUGGAGAAAAACCAUAUCAGUGUUCCGAAUGUCUAAAAGACUUUUCAAAUUAUUCAAAUCUAUUACGGCAUAUUAGAGUUCAUUCAGGAGACAAACCUUUUAAGUGCUCAGAGUGUCUAAAAGAUUUUUCUAGCAAAUCAGAUUUAGUUAAUCAUAUUAGAAUUCAUACAGGAGAGAAACCAUUUCAGUGUUCAGUGUGCCUAAAAGAAUUUUCACAAAAUUCAAAUUUAGCAACACACAUGAAAAUUCAUUCAAAAAAGAAUCUGUAAUUUUUAUGUUUCUCAUAGACAAACUAUUUCCAUCAAGCAACUGCACAUUGUCCAGUCAUAAUACAAGGACUAGAAUAGUAUUUUGCAGUCAUCGGAAGGACAAACCCUUCAUGCAAACUGCACCUACUAUCAAGAAGAAGAAUAGUAUUUGUGUGUCAUUCCAGAUCCAUUGUUCUGUCUCGAGUCUAUAGCAUUCAGAGUAACAUUAUUGUACAUUACCUUCCAUGAAUGAUCUAUUGUACAAGGGCUCUUUAAUUUCUGCAAGCCAGCUAUAAAACAUGUCAGGGUGUUUUCAUGUGAUCUAGGUUAAUUUCUCCAGUCUCUGGGUCUACUGUAUUUGCAAAGUAUCAUCCAUUUGCCUUUCAGUCUUUUAUCUUGUAUAUCAUGGUUCCCAGAAGGCACUGUUAGUUGAAGGCACUAAUGUUAUACAGUACUGUAUAUGUAAUGUCAGUCGCUUUCAACCAUCGGUGCCCCCACAAGGUUAUUGUUUUUAUCACCUAUUUGAACAUGCUUCUGUCCAUAAUUACGUUAUCAGUUUUACUUUGAUAUUUUUCAGACAUUUACCAUUUGAUCACGUGUCUGUUUCCUUGUUAACAUCUUAUCUUGCCAUAGUGAGACACUGCUUGGGUUAUGUAGCACAGUUGAUGGCACUUUACCAUAGGCUGUAUAAAACUUCUUGAAAGUUAACAGUGAAGGGUGAUAAAGUUAAUGACAAUUAUUAUUAUUUACCCCCCUUAUUAAGAGAAAAUGUGAUUUUAUUUAUUUUAUUUAUUAUGCACCCCAUACCCAUCCUGUGGGCAGUGUUGGAAAGGGUUACAGAGGCACAUAAUGAGUUAUGAACUAAACACCCAUAGUUCAUUUAACUAAGCAAAUGACACUCUUGUGAAGUUAGUUACAGAAUUGUUAAUAUUACAUACACAUAUAUAUUAUGUAUAUGCAUAUAUGUAAUAUUGCAUGUUUGUAAUAUGCAAUAUGCAUGUAUGUAUACACACACACACACACAAGAGGAAAUUAAUUUCCUUGCUGAGUAUGAUGUUAUUCUAUGCACUAGGAACACCAAUUAUAUGGUAUGCUAGGAACAUAAGGGCCAUACCAUGUUCCCAGAAUUUCUCUUUGCUAUCAAGCACCUUUUCAAACCAUUUUGCCCCAUCAGUGGAGCAGAGGGAGCAUGUGGGAUAAUAGAUCACCUACUUCCAAGAUGAACCACCUGCUAAAACAAAAAAAGAAGUCACAAACAACAUUCUCUAAUGAAUUUUGGCAGUGCACCAACCAAAACUUUGAAUAACCUAACUAGGUGCUUAGUUACCUCCCACACCACCAUCAGUCAACUCCCUGAUCAGCUCGGGAUCUCUGUGGAGUGAACACCUCAUUCUAGAAUCCUGUACUACAGAGCAUUUUGUAGGUUCUUGCUGAGACCAAUCAUCAAUUUCUAGUUGAGUGUCUAGCUUUUCUUAGUACUUAUGUCCCAUGUAUGGAGUUACUUCAGUUUGCUUCAUAUUUGAAUCUAGAGUUAUCUUCAUUGGCAUCAUUAAUGAAGAGUGAUCACCACCAGAAAUAUCUUCUCUUAGGUGUUUGUGUUCUUCCUUUGAGUUAACCCCCUCAUGACCCGUGCUGUGUGAUAUUUCAGGACUUGCUGCAGAAGUGAAGCCUGUGUAGUAUGAGUUGUAUUGUGAUUCUGGCUUGUUAGGAAGGUGAAACUGCUCAUCCUAGCCAGGAUCCCUUCCUUGAUGUGGUGUCAGGGUGGGUAAUAGUUUGUCAUGUAUAUCUCACUCGAAUCUGGUAGAUUCACCUGAAAAAUUGUCCAUGAGUUCAAAUUAGUUGCCUGUACAAUGAGGUUCUGUGUAUCAUUUUGACAACGGUACCAAUUUAGUAUUGGCUUUAGAGGUACUUAUCCUUAAAUGGAUUAACCCCUGCACUGCACAUCUAUUAAUAACUGACUACUCAGUGGUGAGCAAAAAAAAAAAUAUAUGGUCCUGAAACAUUAUUUUUCAUUUGACACUGUUAGGUAGCAUCCAUGAAGCACAAAAAUCCAAGUAUAAAAUCUCUACCUCUUGUGGUUUAGCUGUAGUGGCCUGGAGAAUUUGCAAUUUUUGGUAGAAAUGAGGUUAGAUGCCAAAUGCGAAUAAUUUUGUAAAUGUAUUUUCAAUGUUUCUUACUUUAUUUAUUUGUUGUGCUAACAGGUUGUAUUGAUGUGUCAGGGGUGGUGUUCAUUAUGUAUAGCUUUGAAAAUAUGAGCAUGUACAGAUAUGAGUAUAAAUAUUCACUCAUCAUGUAUUUAUUGUUACUAUAUAUAUAUAGCUUAAAUCGUAUAACUGCACAUAGCACACAUUUUGCCUGUGAAUACAUGGUAACUACUCAUUUGCUGUUGGUAAAAGUUCAAUGGCUACCCUGCACAUCCUGACACUGGAUGGUGGUGUGCCAGACAUGAUGCUCAUCUUUUUAGUAAGGCCCUAGAAGGAAAGUGAGAGACUCAGGAUUUUUUUUUUCAAGAUAGGGGAUGGUUACUGGAGGCCUGAGGAAGCAAAUGUGAACCCUGUGUAUGUGCAGGAAUUUUAAACCUUAUGCAGUACCCUAAUACUUCCUCUGACGGGAUGUGUAGUUUGAACAUAUCUAGCCACUACAUCACAUGAUGGGAUGCACAGUCGAAGGGUUAAACACAAACACUGUUCAGUAUAUCAUAUACAGUAUUGUUUAAUUCUUAAAUGUGUGUUGUUAUCUUUGAGUAUGUUCUGCUUAGUUCUGAACCUGAUACUGCUGCUAGCAACUUUGCUGGAUGUCUCACUCUGUUUUUCACACUCACUGUGUUAAUUUUGAUGUUUUUAACACAAUUAAUAUUUGUGCUGCGUCUUUCACUCCCCAAGCAGGUUCAAUCUCUUUUUACUCUCAGCUGUGAGUUGUUACCAGCACUGGACAUGUGUUUUGGCUGUUUUAGCUGGUUUGUCCAAUUAUUCAGCCUUCCUCUUGUCCAGUCAAGAGGAAUAAGUUUUCCUCUUAUUCAGUCAAGCUGAAUUAGCCUUCCUCUUGUCUGGUCCCCAGCACCUGUGCUGGUCAGGGUGCCAACACGGUAGAAUUCAUGCCCUGCAGGUUAUUGUGGAUGUAGGGCUGGUGUGGUAAGCUUCAGGGGUAUCCCCCUGACUGAGGACUGGAGCCCAAAGCCUAUUCCUUUCACUUCUGUUUCCUUGGUUUGAUGGGAGGUGGCUUUGGUGCAAUCCUUGGUGGCUAUUUGCCAGAGGCUUUAUAUCUCUCUCACUGGUUUAGGCUUUGGGGUUAGUAUUGCUUGCUGAUCCUGGUCCUUCUGUGUCUUUAUUGGUAAAGAGACCUUGGUUUUCGGGGUUGUCUGAAAAGGAGCCUUGGUUGCUGUUUGAUCUGGCUGGUGGUCUUUUUCCUAGAUUGGAGGGCUGUAAUGACUGAUAUAUAAAGUUUAGCUUUUGUUGUUAUUACUGUAAAGGUUUCUCUUAGUUAAGAUACCAGUUUGUUUUAUUUGUGUUAAUUUUUAUGUUUCAUUUGUGUUUGAGAGUAUGUAUUAGUAAAUGUGUAUGCUUCGGUGUGUGUGUAACAUUUUCUCCACAUGUUUUUGUGUGGUAGCGUUCCUGCACCCCACAAGGACAGAGAGGUCAGAGACGCUACACACACAGGUUGUGUGGCGUGUGCUCGUGAGGUGCCCACUUCACUUUCUGGGAUUAUUGACCUCCAUUAUAUUUGUGUGACUGGAAUGCUGUUGUUAAAUGGAUGAGUGAGAAAUUAUUCCUUGAUUGUGCAUUGUUCCAUCUCCUAUGUCUUAAUAAAUGUAAUGCUGCACGCACUCUGAUUGUCGAGUCCUGCCAAUUCAAAAAUAUGGUACCAGCCCCAUGUGGUUACUCUUGUGUUUGAAGUGUUUAUAAAUGCACAUUGGUUCUACAUCCCUGUUUUAAAGUAACGUAUCUAUACUAUAAAUAAGAAAGUAAGGACGGGUUUUGUUAGUCUGUAUUCUAGAGUACGGCUUUCAAACUCCUGCCCUUACAGGGCUCCCAUUAUGAGGUAGCUAUAGUUUCAACUUAAUUUUUCUACAAUCCUUUUUUCCUUCCUCAAGGUUCAUUGCUGGGUCCUUGUGUUUACUUGGGUUUGCCCAUUCUUAAAAGACUUCACACUACCACUUUGAUUCAGAAUGUUCCAGGUGAUCAUUGUUCUGCUAAGAGGCAAGGGGCUGCACAUCUGAGAUGGGUGGUUUGUGAUGCCAUCCCACCCAGUUCAUAGCCAGUGCCAGCAGCUGGUGGCUGUUCAGAGUAUUUCACUGUGUUUUUGCUCCCCUCUGGUCACAGUUGUCUGUUAUCUGUUACUAGGUUUCUUUAUGUCCCUUUUGGGGAUGAUGCUUGUGAUGUCACUUUAUCUCCAUUUUAGCCAAACCCCCCUUCCAUUCAGGCUUUGGCCUGUCAGGUGAUUGCUUGUUUCUGAGCUGGAGCCUUACAGUUACAACCUUUGGCUGCCUUUGGUAAAGAGGAUUUUGUGGCUCUGUUACUCACUUUGAGAAGUCUCCUCUGGGUUACUUGCUUAAGUGCCUGAAGGGAACAGAUUUUAAAAUUUUAAAUUAAUAGAAGAAGUCUUUGGAUCUAAGAUUAUUGAAAUCUUUGUAUACAGUACUGUAUUAUGAAAUAUGUGUUCUUAACUACAAAAUUGUUCAUUCUCUCCUGACUCUGAUUUUCUUUGAUUAACCCCUCAACUGUGGAUCACAUGCUGGUAUGUUUGACUGGUGAUGUGCAUCACUUCCAGGGAUGCUUUAGGGUUCUGUGCAACAUUUGGAAUCCCAUGGGUACACAGGCUCACAUCCUCUUCCUCAGGUCUUCAGUAAACAGAUGCCAGCUGAGAAAAUAAUUGUAGGCACUCCUCUUCCUUGGUGUGAGGGCCUCACUAUUAACGCAAAAAACAUACUGUGGUUGCUAUGUGCUGUUGCAUGCUGUCUGCAUGCAGCAGCAGCAGCAGCAGCAGCAGCAGCAGCACACAGCACUGCCAUGCAGCUUGCAUCCUUGCAGCUUGCACUUGUAGAUGGUGAAUUUAAUAAGAAACUUCAAGAAUAUAAUGGUGAUAGUGAGAGAAGAUCCUGACUGUGAUAAAGACUGUACAAGGUAUCUGUGACAUGGAGAGUGAACCUGAUGCACAUGACAAUGUUCCCAGUAGAAAGCCUACUCCAUCACCACAGCACACAGCCAUGGUUUGGUGUGUCUGUGCAUCAUGCAGUGGUACCUCACGUUCCUUUGGAAAUGAACAUGUGGAAAAGGAUUAAUUUUAAGGAUUUAGUGAGGAGGAUUCUGAUGAUGAUAAUAAUAAUAAUAAUAAUAAUAAGUGUUAGCGAUAUGCGUAGCGAUGUUGGGUGCUACUUUGUUUCGUCUGGUACCGAGUGUGUGGAGAUUGGCUAUGCAUGGACAAUUAGUUCUCAGAGUAUCACACCUACCAGAACUGCCUAGUGGUGUGUAAUGGUGCAUAAACAGUUAUAUAUAACAUGUGUAUACAGUGUCGCAACAGUAUGUAUAUAGUAUAUAUGUGUACUGAUGUUCUACACAUUCUGUGAUAUAAAUACAUUAUUGACAGCCCAAUGCAGCAUUGCACUGUUAAAACAUGAUAAAACAUUAAUAAUACAAAGAAAAUUAAAUAUAUCAAUGUAAGCAGUUACUAUUUGGUGUUGUAUCACUGGUUAUAAGGUCAUCCAACUCACCAGAACUGCUUAGUGAUUCAUAACAGUGCAAAAGUAUGUAGCUAGGUGUAUAUAACAUGUGUAUGCAGUGUGAUAACAGGAGAAGCAUUAUGUUUUAUUGUUUUAAGAAUAUAAUAUGUUGCACAUAUUGGUGACAUGAAUAUAUACUUGUGCUGUUCCACACAUUCUGCGAUAUAUAUUAUGUUAUUGACUACCCAGUUGGUAUACAUUUGUACUGAAAAAAUGGAAGCUAUUUAAAAUAUGAUAAAAACCCAUUAUAUUAAAUGCGCGCGUUUAAAUGCCCCUCCCCAACUCCUUUCCGAGAGCAAUUCUGUCGGAGCUUGCUGAAUAAGUGAUCAAGAUUUGAUGCCACCAUUUUGACUUCAUCGAUUCACUACAUACAAAGUAAGUGACAGAAAUUUUAGUUUAACUUUCCACUGAUCAGGGAAUGUUUUUUAAUAAUAGAACAAAUACAAUAUUUUGUUUUUCCUGCACAUGGGGGUGGGGGUUUUCUGUUUAAUUCCUUGUGCAGUUGAGGGGUUAAAGUAAGUGCUUUAUGUUUUAAUUGAUUAACAUUUUAUAAUUAUUCAUAUAUUUAUUUGUAUUGUUAUAAUUCAAUGCUAGGACCAGCUAUUGUUUUACUUUAUUGGUAUACUGUACAUUAAUAUUGAGGUUUGCAAUAAUUGUUGUUGAUAAUUUAAUUAUAUUUUUUGUAUUUAAUUGCAAUAUAUUAUUUGCAGAUGCUGUUGCAAGUAUAGGGAAUAUUUUUCAUGCUUUUUUUAUACUAUCUUCUUCACUACUCAAUAAGUACAGCAUAAAGUCAUUCUUUCUUAUGUAUCAAAAUAUUAAGCAUAGGUUGUGUAGUCUAUAUUAUUUAGUAAACAAAAUAAAUUGAAGUUACGACUGAAUUAAAGUUGUUUAUGAUUAGAAGCUGUAAUUAAAUGUUCAAAUAUUAAACUUAGUUCUUGUAAUUUUUUUUAUCUUGAAUUUAGAGACCCUAUUAGCUUUCAGUGUGUGAUUCAAGUGUUUCACAUACAGUCUCUAUUAUAGAUCCGAUGAGCUAUGCUAUAAUCAUUUGAACAGUUAUGUGAAAUUAAAGGAUUGUAAUUCCAGUAGGCCCCCUGCUAUUGUGUAGCAUUUUUUUCACAUCCUGAGUCUACUCAGAAAAAUAAUUAGUACUUAUUAUCAUUACAAUGUUUCCCAGUGUCUAAGGAUGGGGGAAUGCAUUACCUCAGAGAGGACAGGAGAGCAAUGUGAUUUGACAUGACUACCCGAGGUGCUCACAGGGCACUGUGUUAUGUUUACAAUGUCAGAUCUAAAUAACGAGCUGUAUCAUAAAUUCUGACAUCAAGAAAGACAGUUUUGUCACAUCACUGCUUUGAUCUAAUUCUGUACAGCAUUUCAGUAAUUCUUAAUGCUAAAACCUCUCAUAAAGUUCAUAUUCAUACCUGAUGCUAUAGACAUAAUGUGAGUGCUGUGUAGUUUGACCUCAUGCAUAAUAUCAGCAGAAGAGAUCUGUAGGAAAGUAAAGUUAAAAAUACUAAAAAUGAUACCCAUAUGUUCAACAUACCAUAUCUUCUGAUUAACAGCAUCACAGGAGAAUAUCACCAUUACACACCAUCACACCAUACACAGCCAAAUUCCACUGCAUCAUAACAUUUAGAAAAAUAUUUAGAUUUUUUUUAUUUAGCUUAAAAACAGUAUAGUAAAAUUUAAACACAUUGGAAGAAAGGAACAAUUGACUGUGCCUGCUAUGCAUUUGUUUUCCAACAGACACCUGAAAGGAGUUAUUAAAACAAUAAAUCAAUUCAGUAUUAUGUGCCAUAUAGUUCCUGUAAAAGUAUGGACCUGGACUUAAAAUAUGUUUUGUAAUAUCUAAGACAGAUAAAGUGAUGAUAUUUAGGAGUUAUAUGUUUGUAACACAUCCUUAGCUAAAAUAAUUUAAUAGCAAACUAUAAUAUAUAUUUUGAUAUCUUAGCUUCCCUAGCUUGUUUGAGUAUUUGCCAUACUAGAUUACAGUAUCUCAUGGUAUUUGAUGGAAUAAACCUUAAUCUUAUUGUCCAAGUAGUCUUGUUUUUCUUACAGUUUGUCAUCUUACUUAUUAGCCAGACUUUCAGAAUUACAAUCAAUUUAAUUUUUCAUCAACCCACUUAACUCAACUGUCCUUAGAUUUACUCUCUUGUGAAUCAGAUCUUUAAUAUAUUUCUGCUUAUAUCUUUGUCACUGUACUGUGAUCUUGAGUGAUAUAAAAGUACUCUAUAUUUACCUGUGAUUUGAAUGGUGCUAAAUAGCUAUCUUGGCUAUGCACCUUCAUAUAAUGAUUACUUACAGACAGAAUAAGAUUGUAAUGAAGCAUAAUACAAAAAGUAGGAAGACUUUUCAAGGAUAAAUUACUUAAUAAACAGUCACAUUAAGAAAUAAAUAGGAUAAUGUGCAAUGCUCCUUCAUGCUAGACAUAGCUACCUUCGUACAAAUGAGAGCACGGCUACAUCAUACCAAAUUACCACGUUAAAACAUCAUUGGUGUUCCAGACCAAGACUGGCCCAAUUUCUUCAUGAAAGGUCACAAGUAGGAUUUUUUGUAUUAAUCUAAGUAUUUGUGUUUUGGUCAAAAGUUAGGUCUAUUAUUCAGAAUAAUAUUACUUUCUAGGAGCAUGUGAUAGGAUGAAUAGCAAUAAUUCAAGCAAUGGUAUGUAGAUUUCUUUAAAUUAUGUGAAAUCUGUUGACAAGUGCAGUAUGAAUCAUGAAUUAUUGAAAAAUUUAUAUCUGUGUUUUAUAUAAAUUACUCUAGUAUUAGGGAUUAUAGGAUGGCAGAUUCCAACAUGAUAAUUCGAGCAUCAAACAUCAUGUAGCUGUCUUACAAACACACUAUAGGUAUCUGCUAGCAAAUCUGGCACUGCUUGAAGUUAAGAUCUAUGAUGUGUGGAAAUUUUAAGUAGGUAAAUUGCCACUUGCAUUCUAAUUCAUUAUCAGAAUGUAUUCAACUUCGUCCCACCCAAGAGGGAGCAGGCUGGGGAGAGUUCUAAUCUGGGUGAGGAAGUACUUCUCAGAAAAAAGUAAUGAAUCACAAUCAAAGGGAAUCACAAUCAAAUUCAAAGUGAACUUAAUGCCCUCUGAAGAUCUAAAAAAUGACUACUGGAUUUCAGCUUAGACAAAUACAAUGUUAUACAGAUAGGAACAAGAGUGAAAAGACCUGUAGUGCAGUACAGAAUGAUGGGAAGACAGAUCCCUCUAAAAGUAAAAGAAAAAGACCUGGGAAGCUAUAUAAUCACAAAUCUCCAUUGUCCAUGUGGAUAACAUUUUUAUCCCUGCUUUCUUUUCUCCAUGUAGCUAAAAUUGCAUUUAACAGUCGAACCCUCUCAAACUCAGUUGUCCUUGAUGACCGUCCAAUGUUCUGUUUAAGAUUUGUUCCUUUUUCCAUGCCAGUGCAAUACAUAUUGGAAAGUUGGCCAUGGUGUUUCGACUCAAAGGUGCAUAAUACUCUUUAAUUCCAUUUGAAUAACCCCUACUAGCUCACUGUAUUAAUUGUAGUGGUGCCAACCUUACAUUUUCCUGAUCCUGUACAUACUUUAACAUGGAAUAGUUUAUCCCACACUUUAAACACAAGGACAGCAUCCGUACGCUUAGGGACUCUAUCUACAAAAAAUCUAUCUACAGGACUUCUGGUUCAACCAUGACAAUGGGCGAACGUCUGGACACCUCCGCCUGCGGGUCCCUGGAUCACUUUCCGUUUUCACGUUUUGGAUUUGAUACUGCCGUUUGGCAUUCUUCUUCAAUGAUCCAGUUGUACAAUGCCUGGCACACAUAUCGUCUUGGAUCAUGAGAUUGUAGAUAGAUUUUUUUUGGCGUGUUCUGGCUGGUUCUCUUGGUGGAGUGACGGUGUCCGGUGCCGGCUUGGCCAAGAGGUCCUGGGAGUUGGUGGGUCUUGGUGGGCUCCUGGUGUGCCCUUGGACGUGGUGGGUGGUUGGCUUCUGCUCUGCUGGAAGGCACUGGAUAACUUUUGUGUUUUAGCUGGAGGCCGAGUUUUGGUUUUGCUACCCAGUGUUCUCUGUGUGGGGCGGGGCCGGUGCUUGUCACCUUGAGGGACUCCUGGGGCUCCCCAAUCAUCUACCCCUUUGCGUUUCUUUGCCAUGAGUCAUAUUAGUUUCCAGUGAUUGGCGUCACUCGUUUCACGAUUAGGCUUGGCAUUUCACCUUUCCUGGUUUUGCCAUUAACCCAUCAUGGGUAUGGCGGGGUGCAUCCGAUCCCACAAUUGUCAUCGCCCCUAAAUCAAUAACAACAACAACAACAACUUAGGGACUUACUUGCACUUCAGAGACAUCACAUAUGCUCAUGUUGCUCAUCAGAUGCCCUUACCCUUCCUUCACCCCCUUCCCUUCUCUUCUGGUCCAGAAUUGAUUCACUGUCCAUUUGAUAGUGCCCCCCCCCCUCUGCCUCUCUACAGUCUGUUACCAGAAGUGGCCCUUCUCAAUGCAUGGUUCCAACCAGUUCCUUUUUCUGCACACCCAAAAAGAGUACACACCCAGCAAAUUUGUGUGUUAACUUUUCUGGAGCUGAAGAGAUUUGUUCUUGCAAUAAUGGUUUGUAGUGGUAUAUUGUGAUGCUUAGCUUCCAUUGUACUGGCAGUUUGGUAAAGUUUAAAAUUUUUAAUCAUAAAGAAGGCUUCACAAUGGUAUUUGAGAAUGUAUUUCUGUGUAAUAAUCUAAUUGUAAUUACCUGAGUGUAGUUACAGGAUGAGAGCUAUGAUCGUGAUGUACCGUCUUCCCAGUAAUCAUUGGCAAAGGAAAACCUUAGUAUGUCUUUUCUGCAUCUUUGUUUUCUUAGUUUGAAUCUUUGGCCUCUUGUAGUUGCAGAUUUAAAAAUUUCUCCUCUAUUAUUUUGAUUCCUAUUUUUGUUUUGUAUGUAGUGAUCAUUUUGAAAACAAGCAGAGAACUGAGUAUUAAGGUGUACAGUAUUAUUUACAAGCACAAAAUGGCUGUAGUAUGUCUAGUUCGAUGUAGGAAUAAAUUAUUCACCAAAUAGUUAUUUUUAAAUUAGCAUCAGCUGUGUACAGUCUCUGCAGAAAAAAUGUCAUUUAGCAUUCUGUGGCAUCCAGAUGAUUUGGACUCAGUGACAGACAUUUUGAAAUGCUCGUCUUCUUGAAGGGAAUUGGAGCAUUCCACUUUUUAUUUUUUCCUAGUUUCAUUAUAUUUUGUUUUAACUGUUUUAUUUGAAAUUCAACUUUAAAAUUAAUGGUUUUCUGUGUUUUUUAACUGCAUAUUUCAUUUCAAUUAAACAUUUUACCUAUAUUUAAUUCAAGGACUGAGGACUUGAGUCGAUCAUAGUUAUUUUCUUCCUAAAAAUACUGUGACCACGAUCAUUGGUUCAUUUUGAGGUAAGAACUGUGACCAUUGGCUCUUUCUGAGGAACAGGUACCUACUUUUGAUUAUUAGAACAGUUCAUCCUUUAAUAAUUUGUAUACAAGGGGGCUUAGUGUUAAGUGUUCUACAGUGUGCAGUGUACCUAUCAAUUAUUUUUGGACAGCUGAUGAUAUUUACAUAUUUAUAUGAAGUAUGAUUGUGUGCUGAUCUGUAUGACUAGUUCUGAUGCAGUUCUUUAUUCUACGAAGACUUAAAGUGAGUUCACAUUUAAUUAAUGUAAAUUUAUCAUGCUAGUUAUGAUAAAUUUUUGUCUGUUUCUUGAUAUGUGUUUGUAGAUUUAUCUUUCUAAAUUUUAAGUAAAAUCACAAUAACAUGAGUGUUUGCUUUGGGACCAUCAUUUACUCAACCAAAAUAAUCCAUGACAAAAAUUUUUGAAAACUAACUAAACACUCUCACAAAGUAAAAGGCACAGAGGUGUUGUACAUUCAUGAGAAAAAAUGCUCACUGGUAACAUGUCAAGCCGGAAUAUAAAAUUUGAGUAAUGAUUCAUGCCUAAAAUAUAUAUUAGAAAAAUAAAUAUUAAACUCUCAAACAAACAAGAUAAAUUUGCAGAAUAUCAAAGCUAUAAAGGUAGGCAGGUGCUGAGAUGCGGAGAGCUGCCAGGCAAGAGUGGACCAGCGAGGGUAAACUGCAGUGGUGGUGUCGCUGAGGCCAAGUUGCAGAGGAAAUGUAAGUUUAGUUUGAGUCCAGGGUGUGAAAGUCUCCUGGGGGCCUUGUGUCAGUUUCUGUCGAUCCAAAGAGAGCUCCACAAAUGUAUCAUAUUCACCCAGAUUAUGAUUAAUUUAACAGGAAGCAAGGUGCUUGGUUGGUAAAACCUUUGGAGAGCAGACUGUCAGGAUGUAGUAGUAGUAGUAGUGUUGAUGGUGUACCUGGUGGUUAGAAAUAGUCACAGAUGGCACCAAUCUUUGCUGUAUCUAUAAGGGACAGUUUGUCCUGCACUCACUGCAGGACUGGCAUAAAUGAGCAGAGGGGCAAUUUAUUGUGAGAAAAAGUAAAAAAUAAACCUCACAUGAUAAAUAAUCUAAUUAGGUCCUUGUACUGUACCACUUUUGUCCAUAUGGACAACAGGUGGUCAUAUUGUUGAGGAGGAUAUUGUUUUAGUGGGUUGAUCUUUUAUCGAUUCUAUGCUAUUGCCUUCUCAUUGGCUACAGUUGUAAACCAACACAGCAAGGGGAGGGGACACAAGGUUUACAUUUGUACACAGACUUUUUGUUGAUAUGCGCUUUCUGGGAUUUUGGUAUCUGGUAAGCAAACUUUUCAGCCUGCAUAUCAAAAUAAGUAAUGUAAAGUCCUAUCACAGAUAUAUUAACAUAGGAUAAAAAACCCACACUUAUGAACUAUGUAUUAUUCAUUGAGAUGUAAGUCCUGUUCAAACUGUAUACUUUACUCAGAUUUUGAUAAUUCAAUCGAUAGAGGGUGUAAAACUUUGUGUAGUUCAAAUCUUGACAUAAGAUACAUAAGCUUGGGCUUUUUUUUCCUAUAUCAGAAUAAUAAUAACCCAGUUUUUCUUCUAUAGAAAGUUAAAUAAUCCUUGCUAAUCUUUCUGAUCCCUGAGCCAGGUAGUGUGUGAUGCUGCACUAUGGCUGGCUGGCAGUCUGUGUCUUAGUGUAUACUACUUGAUGGUCCAUAAAACCAGAAUAACCAAAUGGAUGGCAAAGAAACUUUUAGCCAAGUCUGUGAUCACUGGUUUAUGUGAUAAUCCUAACAGAUGUGGAGGUGCUGAUGUAGGAAGAUGAUGAUUCACAAUAACAUGGCCAAAGAUUUGACACCCACUCUACACAUCUGAAACUGAAGAACCAAAAAUGUUUUGGUCCAUCCUGGACCAUUAUCAAGUCGUGUAGUGUGUGAUGCUGCACUAUGGCUGGCUGGCAGUCUGUGUCUUAGUGUAUACUACUUGAUGGUACAUAAAACCAGAAUAGCCAAAUGGAUGGCAAAGAAACUUUUUGCCAAGUCUGUGAUCACUGGUUUAUGUGAUAAUCCUAACAGAUGUGGAGGUGCUAAUGUAGGAAGAUGAUGAUUCACAAUAACAUGGCUGAAGAUUUGACACCCACUCUACACAUCUGAAAAUGAAGAACCAAAAAUGUUUUGGUCCAUCCUGGACCAUUAUCAAGCCGUACUAACCUCAUCAUUCAAGACGACGGUAAGGUUCCGAGUGGACAAGUCAACUGCCAGACAGAUGUGGAUAGGGUAGAAGACAUCAAAGGUCAUGAGCUUCCUCCAGGCCAGCAGGUCACAGCAGGACUGCACUCCACGAAGUUCCCUGCUCAAUGCUGUACACCAAGUGGAAGACGAGUGUUGCAAAGGACCAACUGGCACCUGGGGGGCGAACUCUGCUACCACUCAAGAGGUGCAGGCUGUCUUAUCACAUCCCCACCUCACUGGGUUAUCCCUCUGAUGACUCUACCAUCUGCAGCAUGUGCAACACCCAGAUGCACAAGCUCCAUGCUGCCUCUGGAACACCCCCUCCCCUCUCGCGGGCAACUGGAACACUAUCAGGCGGAUACUAAAGCAACUGCAAGAGAGUUUGGCAACUUCCCUGUGGGCCCACAGGGAAGCUGGCAAAGACUCAUCUAUGUGAUGCUAUACACAAGGAAGACAGUGCUGUCCUACCCACAGGAACGACUGGCCUCAGGCCAGGCCAGGCUCGGAGAGUAGAACAACUCCCAACCUUCUACAGAUAUGCUUCAUGUAUGCCUGACCAUACAAGCAAAUGCAAGAGGAUGGCCAUGCAACUUCCACUUGGCAUGUGAACAACACUCACAGCCUCCCUAUAGCAUAACACAAUGCAUAUAUGAGAUCAACUGGGCCGAGUAUGUGAACUACAGCCAGAGGUACUUAAAACCAAAGAACCUUCUCGCAGUUCUCUCACUCCUCAUGGUCAACUUCUUGCAAUGGUCACUAAACCAGGGCCUCAGCUAGUGCAUCCUGCACUCCUACCUCUGUGCCAUAGCCUUCAUACACAAGCUACAUGGAUAUCCAGACCCCCCGCAGUCCUUCAUUGUCACCCAAAUGCUGAAGGCGGGCCAAAAAACAGUGACAAAUGGGCCCCCACACCAUCUCUUCCAGAGUUUAGUGGACUCUCUCUGUAGGCAAUACUUCAGCAGCUAUGAUGUGGUAUGCUACAUGGUCUUCCUCUUUGCCUUUCAUGCCAACCUAUGUGGAAGCGUGGGAGUCACCAUGCAGUGUAGCAUCCACACUGUGCCUUUAACAGCUUUGCAUCUUCCAAACAUAUAUUACACUCUUCUUCCACUACUUUAAGCACAACAGGGACAGAUGCCCUUCCCCUUGCCUCAGAUCUUCCACACUAGCUCCCAACUACCUAGUGUAGGCCCUGCAGAAUUUCUUCAUUCGGAGAGGCACCCAUCCUGGCCCCUUUCUUCUCAUGCACAGAUGGGAUAUUUGGUCAAGCACGUCAAUUUCAUGCAUGCCCUACCCACAGCCCUGGGGUCCCUCUGCAUCACACCACAGGGUUGUGCCAUCCUCACCUUCUAAAUUCGCCAUGUCAUGCAGAUGUGGUACAACAAUCUUCCCUUGGAUCUCAUCAAGUCAGUGGGGUGAUGGGACAGUGGGACUGUCCCGUCACGUGUUGUCAGUGGGACAACAUGUACAUUAGGCCGUUCUUAAAUCUCCUGCCUUGGUGCAGCAUGCUCGUCUGCCCUGUCCUGGUGGAAUGGGGGGUUCCAUGCCAGCUGACCUGGCAGGUGGGGAGGCUUCACUGUAACCCUUUCCCUCCCCAUCAUCAUUCUACAAGUCAUUGUUGUAUCCAAUGUUAUCACAUUUUUACUUUAUAUAUUAUAAAAAUUUUCCAUGUAUGCUACAUGCACUAUAUAUUAAUUGACACUUGGUUUGACAUGUAAAUCAUUUUAAUUGCCAGUUAGUGUUAUUUGACACUCUUGUGUGUGCAGCAUUUGGUACUAUUGUUAUCACUUUUAAUGUUACAUUGUUUAUUAUUAUUACAUUGCAAUCCAUGGCUUCAAACAUUAAUUUGCAACAUUUUCAAUAUAGUGUAAAAAUAAAAUUAAAUAUUUAUUCCCAG